GUUUCACUUUGCAUGUUUUGACUUCCAUAAUAACUAGGUUAUUCUUCCGGAAUGACUAAGUUAUUCAAACCAUCCACAGUCGGUCAUAUGUUGGAAGUAGAUAUGAAUCAAGACUGUCAUGGGUUGGAUUGUAGAGGUCCAAGUUGGUGGACAAAGUUGUGCUACAACACUCAUGAGUGCUCAUAAGUUCUGAGUAUUGGAUUCAACCCACGCUCGUUUGAAUCACUUCAUGGAUUUUAUCACGAGUGAUCAUGAGACGAUAAUAUCUUAUAUUCUUCAAACCUAGAGAUAUGAGUUGAUAGUACAUUGAUUGCACGAAAACACAUUGGUAACUCGAUGUUAUAAAACGUGCCUUUGUGUAUGAUUCAACAAGUAGCAAAACAAGCGAUAUGAGUCGAAGUUUAUCCCUUCCUUUUACCUUUGGGAUUAAAGCGAUAUUUGUGGGCCCCUCGAUGAUUUAAUGAUGACANUGCACGAAAACACAUUGGUAACUCGAUGUUAUAAAACGUGCCUUUGUGUAUGAUUCAACAAGUAGCAGAACAAGCCAUAUGAGUCGAAGUUUAUCCAUUCCUUUUACCUUCGGGAUAAAAGCGAUACUGUGGGCCCCUCAAUGAUUUAAUGAUGACACAUGUGAGUGCAUGGCCAAGCCAGGACUGAUUUGAUUUGUUCAAUCAGUCAGUCGUCAUGAA
rnacentral:lncRNA from 1 species